GUGCCUACGGGGGGCAGCAGUGGGGAAUAUUGGGCAAUGGGCGCAAGCCUGACCCAGCAACGCCGCGUGAAGGAAGAAGGCUUUCGGGUUGUAAACUUCUUUUGUCAGGGACGAAGCAAGUGACGGUACCUGACGAAUAAGCCACGGCUAACUACGUGCCAGCAGCCGCGGUAAUACGUAGGUGGCAAGCGUUGUCCGGAUUUACUGGGUGUAAAGGGCGUGCAGCCGGAGAGGCAAGUCAGAUGUGAAAUCCGCGGGCUCAACUCGCGAACUGCAUUUGAAACUGCUUCCCUUGAGUAUCGGAG
rnacentral:rRNA from 1 species